rnacentral:lncRNA from 1 species
AGAAAACAUAUGACAAAGUUGGAUAAAAUUUAAAGUGCCGGUUUGAAAGACUGAGGUAACAAGACGUAUUUAUCAAAGCGGACCAGCGCUACAACCUUGUCAGAUUUCAAAUUACCGUCGAGCACUUUACACAAUCACAGUUUCAAUCAUCUGACAAAAAUGAAUCAACAUCUUGAAAUGACUCUAGUAGAAACAUCAGAACCUUGUGACAUUUAGUUAGUACUUUGGAAUGUUAUACUUACAUUAUCUGUAAACGUAGUUAUAGCUUUUGAAAAAUUCUAGUAUAAAAUGAAAAAAGAAUUUAAAAAAAGGUUAAAAAUAUUUACAAAGAACAGAAAAGAGGUAAACUUUAAAAAAAAAAAAAAAAAAAAAA